UCGUAAUUCUUUUAUAUAUGUUCUUAGCUAAUUACGCUGGACAAGAAAUUAUAGAUCACAAUAAUCAUAUAUAUUAUACCGCAUAUAGCGGUUGCUGGUAUGUAGCACCGUUACACGUACAGAAGCUGAUAUUAUUUUUAUUACAAAGAGGCAGCAAAGUUGUUAGUUUAAAUGUGGGAGGACUGUUCGCAGCAUCUUUAAACUGCUUUGCUUCCUUAGCAAGUGCAUCGGUAUCUUAUUUCACUUUUAUAUAUUCUACACAUUAA
rnacentral:lncRNA from 1 species